UACAGAGGGUGCAAGCGUUGUUCGGAAUUAUUGGGCGUAAAGAGCUCGUAGGCGGUCUGUCGCGUCUGCUGUGAAAACCCGAGGCUCAACCUCGGGCCUGCAGUGGGUACGGCAGACUAGAGUGCGGUAGGGGAGAAUGGAACGUCCUGGUGUAGCGGUGGAAUGCGCAGAUAUCAGGAAGAACACCGAUGGCGAAGGCAGUUCUCUGGGCCGUAACUGACGCUGAGGAGCGAAAGCGUGGGUAGCAAACAGG
rnacentral:rRNA from 1 species